rnacentral:rRNA from 1 species
GACAGAGGUGGCAAGCGUUGUUCGGAUUUACUGGGCGUAAAGAGCGCGCAGGCGGUCGUUCAAGUCGCGUGUGAAAGCCCCCGGCUCAACUGGGGAGGGUCACGCGAUACUGAUCGACUGGAAGGCAGGAGAGGGUAGUGGAAUUCCCGGUGUAGUGGUGAAAUGCGUAGAUAUCGGAAGGAACACCUGUGGCGAAAAGCGGCUCACUGGACCAUAACUGACGCUGAGGCGCGAAAGCUAGGGGAGCAAACAGG